GGAAAAUACAAAGGCUCAAGGCUUGUAUGAUGAUGCUGAAUUUUCUCUGCGUUGAACCCAGAGAAAUUUGAAUUUUCUCUAGUGAUAAUAACUGAUUCUUGGUUGCUCCAAUGGGUUGAUGAUUGAGUACUGAAACAGAAAUUCAAUGUAACAACAACACCACCAGUGUCCAAUAUCAACGCCUCUGGAUCGCCGCUCCUCAGACGGCUCGGCGACGCCAUUGAAGGUCGGAUCCGGUGAAGGUGGAGUUCAAUCGGUUGGAGAAUGAAGUCAGAGCUGAGGACACAAGAGUUGAUCUG